rnacentral:rRNA from 1 species
AAAUUGAAGAGUUUGAUCAUGGCUCAGAUUGAACGCUGGCGGCAGGCCUAACACAUGCAAGUCGAACGGUAGCACAGAGAGCUUGCUCUCAGGUGACGAGUGGCGGACGGGUGAGUAAUGUCUGGGAAACUGCCUGAUGGAGGGGGAUAACUACUGGAAACGGUGGCUAAUACCGCAUAACGUCGCAAGACCAAAGAGGGGGACCUUCGGGCCUCUUGCCAUCAGAUGUGCCCAGAUGGGAUUAGCUUGUUGGUGAGGUAACGGCUCACCAAGGCGACGAUCCCUAGCUGGUCUGAGAGGAUGACCAGCCACACUGGAACUGAGACACGGUCCAGACUCCUACGGGAGGCAGCAGUGGGGAAUAUUGCACAAUGGGCGCAAGCCUGAUGCAGCCAUGCCGCGUGUAUGAAGAAGGCCUUCGGGUUGUAAAGUACUUUCAGCGGGGAGGAAGGUGUUGUG